UAAUACUAACUGUAUAGAAAUCAAUGGCCAUUAUCCUUGACUACCAAGAACUUUGGUCCUGGUUUGUUUCUGCAACUGAAUGCAUUGCUAAAUAAAUCAUUGUCUGAAUGUAACUAUUUGUUUAUUUAUCUUUUAUUCCACUGCAACAGUUACAGUGACCAAUGAAAGGACUGAGACUGCAAGUCUCUGUGUGACUUACUGGACAUUUGCUGAAGGAACACCCUAGCGUGCUUUGAUACGUUUUCUACUGAUGGACUUCCUCAGUGAAGGACGUCCCAUCCCUGGACCUCCAUGUCCUCCAGAACCACAUCCAGACAGAUCUUCAUAGAGGGUGGGAUCCCCACUUGCUACGGGAAGAAGGCCAGGGGUAGGUGAAGCAAACAAUUUUUAGGGCACCUUUUCUAGCUCUUUCCUUAUGCCAGGAGCUGUGAGGUCCUUAAGAAGGCUACUCAGAUUCCCAGAAAACUGCUGAAUACCACGAAUGCUUCAGUCUACUGAGAAGACAGCCUGUGCUGUCUGUGUGCAGGGUUGUGACUACAGCUCACAGUAUAUCCACACCUGCUGCUUUGUCACUGGCCUGUUACCACAGGACUUCAAGAAUCAUUGGAGCCCAGUAACUAGAUAAAAGUCAAGACAACUAGCAAUGGCUCUGGAUGUAGUGGAUGACCUUGGUGUCUUUGGCAUCUGACCAAGCUCGAAGUGCUCCAUAGCACCUGCUUCUGCCACAUUCAUGGCCUGUGGAAACAAAAUGUUCACAUCUACCUGGGGAAGUCUUCACAUGCUUGGGGCAGACACCUCAUUAACUCACCAACACCUUUGAGGCCUGUCAGUUACAGUCAACCUGUUUUAGCCUAUCUGACAAGAUGGUUUUACUGGGGUGUGGCCAUUGCGCACACUAUAGUUUCUUGGAACCACAGAUGAAAGCUGGAUGGCAAGUGGACACCAAAGGUGGAUAAGCAGGCCUGAAAAGGCUCAGCAGCUCUCACACCAGAGGAACUAGUUCUCCCUGAAUACUUCACAUAACCAGAUUUAUCUGCUGCCACUAAAAAGAAGCAGAGAGCUUGAAGUAUGAUAAUUCAGAAGACAAAGAGGAUAGGCUUACAACCAAAAAUAACUUACCCAGAAAAAAGGGAGUGUAAUUCUACAGAGAGAAAAAUGGAUUUUUAAUGGAAAAAUACUUCCAAGCAUUCUUGAUGAAUAGACCAGAGCUGCAUAGAAACUCUGAAGUGCAAACAUAAGAGUCAAGAAACAUAAAAAGACAAACCUGAGUGAGCAAUCAUGAGAUUAAACAAUAAACUAUUUACAUUCUAAUAUA